UACGGGGGGGGCAAGCGUUGUUCGGAAUUACUGGGCGUAAAGCGCGUGUAGGCGGCUUGGCAAGUCGGGUGUGAAAGCCCUGGGCUCAACCUAGGAAGUGCACUCGAAACUGCUUUGCUGGAGUGUCGGAGAGGAAAGCGGAAUUCUCGGUGUAGAGGUGAAAUUCGUAGAUAUCGAGAGGAACAUCGGUGGCGAAGGCAGCUUGCUGGACCUGUAUUGACGCUGAGGCACGAAAGCGUGGGGAGCAAACAGG
rnacentral:rRNA from 1 species